rnacentral:rRNA from 1 species
UUGAACGCUGGCGGCAUGCUUUACACAUGCAAGUCGAACGGUAACAGGUUAAGCUGACGAGUGGCGAACGGGUGAGUAAUGCAUCGGAACGUGCCCGAUCGUGGGGGAUAACGCAGCGAAAGCUGCGCUAAUACCGCAUACGAUCUGAGGAUGAAAGCGGGGGACCGUAAGGCCUCGCGCGAUCGGAGCGGCCGAUGUCAGAUUAGGUAGUUGGUGGGGUAAAGGCUCACCAAGCCGACGAUCUGUAGCUGGUCUGGGAGGACGACCAGCCACACUGGGACUGAGACACGGCCCAGACUCCUACGGGAGGCAGCAGUGGGGAAUUUUGGACAAUGGGCGAAAGCCUGAUCCAGCAAUGCCGCGUGCAGGAAGAAGGCCUUCGGGUUGUAAAGCUCUGUGGAUGGGGAAGAAUAAGUGCCGGCUAAUACCCUGCAUGAUGACGGUACCCAUUUAGCAAGCACCGGCUAACUCUGU